rnacentral:rRNA from 1 species
UACGUAGGGGGCAAGCGUUGUCCGGAAUCAUUGGGCGUAAAGAGCGCGUAGGCGGUCCGGUAAGUCCGCUCUGAAAGCCCGGGGGCUCAACCCCGGGAGGCGGGCGGAUACUGCCGGGCUAGAGUCCGGAAGAGGAGAGUGGAAUUCCUGGUGUAGCGGUGAAAUGCGCAGAUAUCAGGAAGAACACCUAUGGCGAAGGCAGCUCUCUGGGACGGUACUGACGCUGAGACGCGAAAGCGUGGGGAGCGAACAGG